UACGUAGGGGGCUAGCGUUGUCCGGAAUCAUUGGGCGUAAAGCGCGUGUAGGCGGUUCGGUAAGUCCGCUGUGAAAGUCGAGGGCUCAACCCUCGGAAGCCGGUGGAUACUGUCGGGCUAGAGUACGGAAGAGGCGAGUGGAAUUCCCAGUGUAGCGGUGAAAUGCGUAGAUAUUGGGAGGAACACCAGUGGCGAAGGCGGCUCACUGGACCGGUACUGACGCUGAUGCGCGAAAGCGUGGGGAGCAAACAGG
rnacentral:rRNA from 1 species